rnacentral:lncRNA from 1 species
CCACAAAACUUCAAUAUUAAAAUAAAUCAUUUAUUGUCAUGAUUAUUUUUUUUAUUUUUUUUGUUAAAUUUUUUUUUCGAUUGAUCUAUGAAGUGAAAAUCAAAUUCCAAAUGCAUACUAGCUAAGAAUUUCAAAAACUUCUUCUUUUUUUUUUGAAAUCUAAUUUAAGAUACAUAAAUGAUAAGAAUUUCAAAGCACACACGGUUUUAUUUACUAAAUCAGCCCAAAUUCUAGGUUAAUAUGCAAUCUAAGUUAAAGUUAUUAAGUUUUCGUUUAGGGAGUUGUAAGACUCAUUUAUACUGGAGUGCUCGGUGAAAUCUGGACCGUACACAAGCUAAGAGUUCGGAUCUCCAAAAUAUUGUUAAUACUAGUAGUUUUCCAAGGAUUGGUCGAAAGGACCUGCUCACUGAUUCAAAAUCAUCUUAUCUGUAGGAUUUCGAGAGUUGUGGAUGUUUACUUUAGUACCUCACGGGCUUUAUCUGUAAUAUUCCAGUUUACUCGAAUUUUUACAACGACGGCUUUCACACUAUUGUCUUUUUCAAGGUCAAUACAGAGUUUUUUUUUAUCAUAAAAGAUAUAUAAAUUGUGCACUUUUACUCUUGUGGUGAUUUCUCCGUGUAACGAGCAGUUAGUCGACAACUCUCACACCAGUUGGCAUAAGGUGUCGGGCAUCAAGACUCCCCUACGGACU